rnacentral:rRNA from 1 species
UAGUCCACGCUGUAAACGAUGAGUACUAGCUGUUAGGUCUGGUGUAAAAGACUUAGUGGCGCAGCUAACGCGAUAAGUACUCCGCCUGGGGACUACGGCCGCAAGGUUAAAACUCAAAGGAAUUGACGGGGACCCGCACAAGCGGUGGAGCAUGUGGUUUAAUUCGAUGCAACGCGAAGAACCUUACCUGCUCUUGACAUCUAUAGAAGAAUUCAGAGAUGAAUUUGUGCCUUCGGGAACUAUAAGACAGGUGCUGCAUGGCUGUCGUCAGCUCGUGUUGUGAAAUGUUGGGUUAAGUCCCGCAACGAGCGCAACCCUUAUUUUAGUUGCUAUCAUUAAGUUGAGCACUCUAAAGAGACUGCCGCUGAAUAAAGCGGAGGAAGGUGAGGACGACGUCAAGUCAUCAUGGCCCUUAUGAGCAGGGCUACACACGUGCUACAAUGGAUAUUACAGAGAGAUGCAAAGCCGCAAGGUAGAGCGAAACUCAG